rnacentral:tRNA from 1 species
GCAUUGGUGGUUCAGUGGUAAACUUCUCGUCUGCCAUUCGGGAGGCCCGGGUUGAUUCCCGGCCAAUGUG